AUUGAACGCUGGCGGCAGGCCUAACACAUGCAAGUCGAACGAGUGGCGGACGGGUGAGUAAUGUCUGGGAAACUGACUGAUGGAGGGGGAUAACUACUGGAAACAGUCGCCAAUAACGCAUACCCUCAAAUGUGCCCAGCUGGGUUUAGCGUGUUGGUGGGGUAACGGCUCACUAAGGCGACGAUCCCUAGCUGGUCUGAGAGGAUGACCAGCCACACUGGAACUGAGCCACGGUCCAGACUCCUACGGGAGGCAGCAGUGGGGAAUAUUGCACAAUGGGCGCAAGCCUGAUGCAGCCAUGCCGCGUUUAUGAAGAAGGCCUUCGGGUUGUAAAGUUCUUUCAGCGUGGAGGCGUUACCCGCAGAAGAAGCACCGGCUAACUCCGUUCCAGCCGCCGCGGUAAUAC
rnacentral:rRNA from 1 species